rnacentral:rRNA from 1 species
AUUGAACGCUGGUGGCAGGCUUAACACAUGCAAGUCGAGCGGGGGAAGGUAGCUUGCUACCGGACCUAGCGGCGGACGGGUGAGUAAUGCUUAGGAAUCUGCCUAUUAGUGGGGGACAACAUCUCGAAAGGGAUGCUAAUACCGCAUACGUCCUACGGGAGAAAGCAGGGGGUCUUCGGACCGUGCGCUAAUAGAUGAGCCUAAGUCGGAUUAGCUAGUUGGUGGGGCAAAGGCCUACCAAGGAGACGAUCUGUAGCGGGCUCUGAGAGGAUGAUCGGCCACACUGGGACUGAGACCCGGCCCAGACUCCUACGGGAGGCAGCAGUGGGGAAUAUUGGACAAUGGGGGGAACCCUGAUCCAGCCAUGCCGCGUGUGUGAAGAAGGCCUUAUGGUUGUAAAGCACUUUAAGCGAGGAGGAGGCUACUCUAGUUAAUACCUAGGGAUAGUGGACGUUACUCGCAGAAUAAGCACCGGCUAACUCUGUGCCAGCCGCCGCCGUAA